rnacentral:rRNA from 1 species
CGCUUUCACUCCUACGGGAGGCAGCAGUGGGGAAUCUUGGACAAUGGGGGCAACCCUGAUCCAGCCAUGCCGCGUGAGUGAUGAAGGCCUUAGGGUCGUAAAGCUCUUUCGCCUGUGAAGAUAAUGACGGUAGCAGGUAAGAAACCCCGGCUAACUCCGUGCCAGCAGCCGCGGUAAUACGGAGGGGGUUAGCGUUGUUCGGAAUUACUGGGCGUAAAGCGCACGUAGGCGGAUCGGAAAGUUGGGGGUGAAAUCCCGGGGCUCAACCCCGGAACUGCCUCCAAAACUAUCGGUCUAGAGUUCGAGAGAGGUGAGUGGAAUUCCGAGUGUAGAGGUGAAAUUCGUAGAUAUUCGGAGGAACACCAGUGGCGAAGGCGGCUCACUGGCUCGAUACUGACGCUGAGGUGCGAAAGUGUGGGGAGCAAACAGGAUUAGAUACCCUGGUAG